rnacentral:lncRNA from 1 species
AGUACUUGUCUAUAGACAUCGUGGGGGCAUUUCGGGCCGCAGUAAUUAGCCUGGCCCAUUGCUGUUGCGGUUACCCAGCCUGGUAUAAGAAGCGAAAUUAAAAAAUUGUAAAAUCGUUUUCAAUAUAUAUAUAUAUUAAUCUUUCAUGCAGUUCGUGUCAUUGUUGUCUGGCAAGGUACGAUGGUCUGGAAGCCCGGCAGAUGUCAAAGUCACAAAACAGAAGACCUUUGUUUGAUGUUGAACUGUACCUCACCAGAUACAAAUCCUUGUCUCAACUUCAUUAAAUAUUAUUCAUCGUGGUUGCAUGCACGUUUCGCCUAUCCCUAUUGGACGAUCACUUCAUUAUACGAAAAUACAAUCGAAAAUACAGCCAUAUAUCUUGACAGACUAUGGUCUCAUAGUUCGCAUGAUUACCAACAGCCAGUGCACAUUCUCAUAUCUUUUGUUUCUCUAGUGAAUUCUAAAUGAUGGUGCAAGACACAUUCGAGAGUGGCGUCCUGACCAAGAGAAAAUGUCCAUCGCCAUCGUCAGGAACAUCGACACCACUCUCUCUCAUUGAAAAGAUCAAACAGAGUAUCGCAUUGGAAAAGAAUUUUUUCUCUUUGGAAUUUUUCCCACCAAGGACGCCUGCAGGGGCUGCAAACUUAAUCGGAAAGCUAGAAAA